GUCCCCGUAGCUCAGAGGAUUAGAGCGUUUGCUUGCGGAGCAAGAGGUCGGAGGUUCGAAUCCUCCCGGGGACGCUA
rnacentral:tRNA from 1 species